GACGAACGCUGGCGGCGUGCCUAAUACAUGCAAGUAGAACGCUGAAGAGAGGAGCUUGCCCUUCUUGGAUGAGUUGCGAACGGGUGAGUAACGCGUAGGUAACCUGCCUUGUAGCGGGGGAUAACUAUUGGAAACGAUAGCUAAUACCGCAUAACAAUGGAUGACACAUGUCAUUUAUUUGAAAGGGGCAAUUGCUCCACUACAAGAUGGACCUGCGUUGUAUUAGCUAGUAGGUGAGGUAAUGGCUCACCUAGGCGACGAUACAUAGCCGACCUGAGAGGGUGAUCGGCCACACUGGGACUGAGACACGGCCCAGACUCCUACGGGAGGCAGCAGUAGGGAAUCUUCGGCAAUAGGGGCAACCCUGACCGAGCAACGCCGCGUGAGUGAAGAAGGUUUUCGGAUCGUAAAGCUCUGUUGUAAGUCAAGAACGGGUGUGAGAGUGGAAAGUUCACACUGUGACGGUAGCUUACCAGAAAGGGACGGCUAACUACGUG
rnacentral:rRNA from 1 species